AUGAUGACCCAAUUGAAAUUUCUGUCGUGAAAAAUGGCACCUGUGUAACCAUUUUAUGGAAAAUCAGGAUUUUAUGGAAAUCAGGCUUAAACAGUUAGCGUUAUUUAUUAGCGCAAUACAGCAAGGAAAUGUUUACAUUAUUGAAUCCAUUGCUAUAUUUUCAACAGAUUCUAGAAAAAACAGAACCAGAAUUUCUGCAAUUUAAGAAUGAAAGACAAACAUGGUUACGGCCUGUAAAACUUCAACAGUUGCUGGAUACAAAGUCACAACAUUCAGAUUCUAAAUUGAUUGUAGGGAAUACAGAAGUAGGUGUGGAAAUGAAAUUUAAAGGAAUGAGGUAUCCUGUUAUAAUAUCUUGCUCGCAAGUACCUGAACUGAAUGAGUUGCAUUUGGACGAUGAGGGCGUCAGUAUAGGUGCUUCCGUCACUCUUUCAAGAAUCGAAACUUUUCUGAAGCAAAGUAUGGAAAAAAUACCAGAGUAUAAAUGCAAAACGUUUGCUGCUAUCGUUGAAAUGUUGCAUUGGUUUGCUGGAAAUCAAAUUAGAAACGUUGCUGGAAUAGGUGGUAACGUUGUAACAGGAAGCCCUAUUUCGGAUCUGAACCCGAUUCUGAUGGCUGCAAAGUCUACCUUGACGUUUGCUGCAACAGACGGAACAUUUCGUUCUAUUCCCAUGGAUGAGCACUUUUAUACUGGCUAUCGGAAGAAUGCAAUGUUGCCAAAUGAGGUUCUGCUGUCAAUACAUGUUCCGUUUACUAGACAGACUGAAUAUUUCAAAGCAUAUAAGCAAGCCCAUCGACGAGAUGAUGAUAUUGCAAUUGCCAACGCUGCAUUCAGAGUAAAUAUCGAGUCUGGUGUCGUUAAAGACUGCUCUAUGGCAAUUGGCGGUAUGGCACCGACGACAAAACUCGCAGUGAAGACUGUGAAUUUUAUGGUUAAAAGGUCAUGGAACCAAUUUCUACUCGAGGAGGUUAGCUCUCUCCUUGCCGACGAGAUGUCCCUGCCACCUGACGCACCCGGAGGGAUGGUUGAGUACAGACAGUCACUCGUACUCAGUUUCUUCUUCAAAUUCUACUUGGAUGUAUCCCAGCAAAUAGUGGAAUUCGAUAAUGGUUGCAGUAUUCCGGUCUCUGCAACCUCGGCCACAGCCCCUUUUAACAGGCCUGAAUCUAAAAGUACACACAUAUUCCAGGAGGUCAGUGAUGAACAGUCACUUGGAGAUAUUGUUGGUCGUCCAAUAGUCCAUUCGUCGGCCUACAAACAGGCAACAGGAGAGGCUGUCUACGUCGACGAUAUGGUUCCGCUUGAAAAUGAGUUGUACAUAGCAUUUAUCUACAGUACCAAGGCGCAUGCAGAGAUAAAAUCGGUCGAUCCAAGCAAGGCUCUGUCAGUAGAAGGCGUUCACACGUACGUGGAUCACCGUGACGUGCCUGGAAAUAACGAUAUAGGAUCUGCAGCAAUGAUAGACGAAGAACUUUUUGCAACAAAAUUGGUGAGGUGUGUUGGACAAGUUAUCGGAGGAAUCGUCGCUGAUAACCAAGAUAUUGCACAAAGAGCAGCGAAACUUGUUAAGAUUGAAUAUGAAGAAUUUGAGCCAAUCGUUACCAUUGAAGAUGCUAUAGCCAAAAGCAGUUUCCUAUCCACACCGCAAUGUAUUGAAAAUGGUAACAUAAAGGAAGGAUUUAGGAAUUCAGAUAAUGUUAUCGAAGGAGAAAUGAGAGUGGGAGAACAAGAGCAUUUUUAUCUUGAAACAAAUGCUUGCAGAGCAAUACCUGUCGAAGACGGCGGAAUGGAAAUAUUAUCCUCCACUCAAAAUCCAAGCCUGGCGCAGUCGCUGGUGGCAAGAGUUCUUGGACUACAAAAACACAGGGUAACAUGUCGUGUGAAAAGACUAGGAGGGGGAUUCGGUGGAAAAGAGACCAGAUCUGACGUAUUUUCUUCAGCAAUUGCAGUUGCAGCAAACAAAGUGAAACGACCAGUCCGAUGUAUGCUUGACCGUGAUGAGGACAUGUCCACUACGGGAACCAGACAUGCUUUUCUGGGACGUUACAAGGUUGGUUUUACUAAUGAUGGCAAGGUACAAGCACUGGAAAUUGAUAUGUACAGCAAUUGCGGAUAUUCAAUGGACCUUUCUUUCUCGAUAAUGGAGCGUGCACUUUUCCAUAUGGACAACGCCUACAAAAUUAGCAACAUUAAAGGGACUGGUUAUCUAUGUAAGACAAACAUUCCUUCAAAUACAGCAUUCAGAGGAUUUGGAGGCCCUCAAGGAAUGAUGAUUGUUGAGAACUGGAUAGGAGAUGUUGCAAUAGCUUGUGGGAUAUCACAAAAAAUGGUUCGAGAAAUCAACAUGUACAAAGAGGGUGAUUUAACACAUUUUAACCAGAAACUUGUGGAUUUCAACUUAAAAAGAUGUUGGGACGAAUGUCUUAAAAGUAGUGAAUAUGACAAAAGGCGAAUCGAAGUCGAGAAAUUUAAUAAGGCGAACCGCUGGAAAAAGAGAGGAAUUUGUGCAGUUCCAACCAAAUUUGGAAUUGCUUUUACAGCGUUAUUUAUGAACCAGGCUGGGGCAUUAGUAUUGGUGUAUACAGACGGGAGUGUACUCCUGACCCACGGUGGGGUUGAAAUGGGGCAAGGUUUACACACUAAGAUGAUUCAAGUCGCUAGUCAGACGCUUGGGAUUUCUUCAGAGAAAAUAUACAUUAAUGAGACAUCAACAAAUACUGUUCCAAACACCUCACCGUCUGCUGCAAGUGCAAGUUCAGAUCUGUAUGGAAUGGCAAUCAAAAAUGCGUGCGAGAAGAUCCUCGAACGUAUCAAAACGUACGCCAUUGCAAAGCCAAACGCAUCAUGGGAAGAUUGGGUAAAGGCUGCCUAUUUCGACAGAGUCAGUCUUUCAGCAACCGGAUUUUACAAGACGCCUGGUAUUGGCUAUAAUUGGGACACUAACUCUGGCUCACCAUUUAAUUACUUCACAUUCGGCGUGGCAGUGUCUGAAGUUGAGGUCGAUUGUCUUACUGGUGAUCACGUGGUUCUCCGGACUGACAUUGUCAUGGAUGUUGGGGACAGCAUCAACCCUGCAAUUGAUAUCGGACAGAUCGAAGGCGGUUUUAUUCAGGGUUAUGGGUUAUUCACCCUCGAAGAACACCGUUGGAGUCCUUCUGGACAGCUACUGACCAAAGGUCCAGGAUUUUACAAGAUACCAGGCUUCACUGAUAUUCCAGUUGAGUUCAACGUUAGCCUUCUAUCCGGUGUACCUAACAAAAGAGCUGUUUGUUCUUCCAAGGCAAUCGGUGAGCCACCUCUUUUCUUGGCAUCUUCUGUAUUUUACGCCAUCAAAGACGCUAUCCUUUCGGCAAGACACGAUGCUGGCACCGAGGGAAUCUUCCGUUUAGACAGUCCAGCAACUGCUGAGCGAAUCCGAAUGGCUUGCGCGGAUCAAUUCACUGCAAAGUUUCCAUCGGCUGUACCGGGAACCUUCAGACCCUUCUUUGUCAGAUCGUAACUUUCCGAAGCGAGUGACAGAAUAUAUGCAAUUGUCGUAUUAUGAAAUUGUAAAAAAGAAAUAGAUUAUUUAGUUUAGGUCAGAUCCUGGAUAAUUUGUUGAUGCACUGAUAACAUUCGGGUUCUCAACCACGGGUUAAGAACCCGGUAAGAGGUAAGCCAUCCUUGGCCAGUAAGUAGCUCAGGAAUAUUUAUGCAAAUGUGAAAUACCCUAUUUACGACUGAUUUAUGACACUUUAAUGCAUAAUGCAGUGCACAUUUAUCUAUGUAUGGUUUAGCCCUUUUGACAAAUGUAGGCGGGGGGGGGGGGUGCCAGGCCGGCUCACCCUGAAACCCCCUAUUAAUACAUUUAAUGUAAUUAGGUAACCUUAUAUAUAUAUUGUUGUUUUCUCUUCAACUGGAAAUAUAUUGCUUUGUAUAAUUUUCUUAUCAAUUAUAUAUCCACUUAUAAUUAUGUGACUGUAUUGAUAUGCGCAUUAGUAAAAUACAUGUAAUGUAAUUAGGUGCACCUGAUACAAUUUGUUGUUAGCAAAAGCAAAUGGAAAUACAUUGUUUUGUAUAAUUUCAAUAUCAUAUAUAUAUAUAUAUAUAAAUAUAUAUAUAUAUAUAAUAUGUAAUAUAA
rnacentral:misc_RNA from 1 species